UACGGGGGGAGCAAGCGUUGUUCGGAUUUACUGGGCGUAAAGGGCGCGUAGGCGGUCAGCACAAGUCAGUUGUGAAAUCUCCGGGCUUAACUCGGAAAGGUCAACUGAUACUGUGCGACUAGAGUGCAGAAGGGGCAACUGGAAUUCUCGGUGUAGCGGUGAAAUGCGUAGAUAUCGAGAGGAAUACCUGCGGCGAAGGCGGGUUGCUGGGCUGACACUGACGCUGAUGCGCGAAAGCCAGGGGAGCGAACGGG
rnacentral:rRNA from 1 species